rnacentral:lncRNA from 1 species
AUAUGUGAAUCAACCUUGCGAAUCCGCAUGUAUUUCACCUCCACUUCUGGCUCCUCUCCUCUUCUGUACACUCACACAUCAAUGCUCUCGCCUGUUUCAAAAAAUGCCCUGAAGAAAUCGUGAACGAGUCAGAUUCUUUCUUCUAAUCCAUCGCUUUGGAUAUUCUUGAUCAACGGGAUGUCUGAGAAAUAUAAAUAUUGUUUUAGGAUGUAUAAAAUCUGCAUGUAUGAUGACUAUGUACAAUAUACGUAGCUUCCUUUAAAGGUUAUAAGAACUGCUAUAACAUUCAAGUUUGAACAGGUGCGAUACGAACCUAGGAAAGCCUUAUUCUAUGGACCAGUAACUACUAACAAGCUUCAUUGCAUAUAUA